ensembl:rRNA predicted gene, 25660
ACCAACGACUAUACCACUCUGAACACAUCCAAUCUAGGAAGCUAAGUAGGGUUGGGCCUGGUUGGGGCUUGGAUUGGAGAAGGGAAAUAUUGGCUUCCAUGGUA